UGGCGAACGGGUGAGUAACACGUGAGUAACCUGCCCUUAACUCUGGGAUAAGCCUGGGAAACUGGGUCUAAUACCGGAUAUGACUCCUCAUCGCAUGGUGGGGGGUGGAAAGCUUUAUUGUGGUUUUGGAUGGACUCGCGGCCUAUCAGCUUGUUGGUGAGGUAAUGGCUUACCAAGGCGACGACGGGUAGCCGGCCUGAGAGGGUGACCGGCCACACUGGGACUGAGACACGGCCCAGACUCCUACGGGAGGCAGCAGUGGGGAAUAUUGCACAAUGGGCGCAAGCCUGAUGCAGCGACGCCGCGUGAGGGAUGACGGCCUUCGGGUUGUAAACCUCUUUCAGUAGGGAAGAAGCGAAAGUGACGGUACCUGCAGAAGAAGCGCCGGCUAACUACGUGCCAGCAGCCGCGGUAAUACGUAGGGCGCAAGCGUUAUCCGGAAUUAUUGGGCGUAAAGAGCUCGUAGGCGGUUUGUCGCGUCUGCCGUGAAAGUCCGGGGCUCAACUCCGGAUCUGCGGUGGGUACGGGCAGACUAGAGUGAUGUAGGGGAGACUGGAAUUCCUGGUGUAGCGGUGAAAUGCGCAGAUAUCAGGAGGAACACCGAUGGCGAAGGCAGGUCUCUGGGCAUUAACUGACGCUGAGGAGCGAAAGCAUGGGGAGCGAACAGGAUUAGAUACCCUGGUAGUCCAUGCCGUAAACGUUGGGCACUAGGUGUGGGGGACAUUCCACGUUUUCCGCGCCGUAGCUAACGCAUUAAGUGCCCCGCC
rnacentral:rRNA from 1 species